GCUAGUUGGUGGGGUAAAGGCCUACCAAGGCAAUGAUGCGUAGCCGAGUUGAGAGACUGAUCGGCCACAUUGGGACUGAGACACGGCCCAAACUCCUAUGGGAGGCAGCAGUAGGGAAUCUUCCACAAUGGACGCAAGUCUGAUGGAGCAACGCCGCGUGAGUGAAGAAGGUCUUCGGAUCGUAAAGCUCUGUUGUUGGUGAAGAAGGAUAGAGGCAGUAACUGGUCUUUAUUUGACGGUAAUCAACCAGAAAGUCACGGCUAACUACGUGCCAGCAGCCGCGGUAAUACGUAGGUGGCAAGCGUUGUCCGGAUUUAUUGGGCGUAAAGCGAGCGCAGGCGGAAUGAUAAGUCUGAUGUGAAAGCCCACGGCUCAACCGUGGAACUGCAUCGGAAACUGUCAUUCUUGAGUGCAGAAGAGGAGAGUGGAACUCCAUGUGUAGCGGUGGAAUGCGUAGAUAUAUGGAAGAACACCAGUGGCGAAGGCGGCUCUCUGGUCUGCAACUGACGCUGAGGCUCGAAAGCAUGGGUAGCGAACAGGAUUAGAUACCCUGGUAGUCCAUGCCGUAAACGAUGAGCGCUAGGUGUUGGGGACUUUCCGGUCCUCAGUGCCGCAGCAAACGCAUUAAGCGCUCCGCCUGGGGAGUACGACCGCAAGGUUGAAACUCAAAGGAAUUGACGGGGGCCCGCACAAGCGGUGGAGCAUGUGGUUUAAUUCGAAGCAACGCGAAGAACCUUACCAGGUCUUGACAUCCUGCGCUACACCUAGAGAUAGGUGGUUCCCUUCGGGGACGCAGAGACAGGUGGUGCAUGGCUGUCGUCAGCUCGUGUCGUGAGAUGUUGGGUUAAGUCCCGCAACGAGCGCAACCCUUGUCUUUAGUUGCCAUCAUUAAGUUGGGCACUCUAAAGAGACUGCCGGUGACAAACCGGAGGAAGGUGGGGAUGACGUCAAGUCAUCAUGCCCCUUAUGACCUGGGCUACACACGUGCUACAAUGGGCAGUACAACGAGAAGCGAACCCGCGAGGGUAAGCGGAUCUCUUAAAGCUGCUC
rnacentral:rRNA from 1 species